CAAAAUCGACUGCUCGUUGUCUGAUGUUUUUAAAUGCAAUUGUUUUGUAGCGUCAAUCUGUUAUAAUUGCAGGGAAUAUAUGCAUAAAGAACACGUUUCAUCAAAGUAUAUCAACAUCAUUCCAUCCAGGGAUGAAUGCGUUUACACAAGCUGCUACUGUGAGGAAAUGUUUGGAAACUAUGUGAACACAUCAAGACUCAAACGCAAAUACCAUUGAACGAGGUGUAUGCAGUCUUUAUAUCAAAUGAAAGAAGAAUGAUCCCUAUGUGGAAACAUAAGUCCAGUCGUGGAGAUGAACCUGUUGUUUGGGUAGGCACUGUCAUCAAGUCCCUUGGAAUUCAUUAUCACACAGAGGAUAGAACAAUCCAGAAUUAGAAAAACAGAUGAAGCCACACCCUUUCCUUUAGCAUUAUGUGAAAUACGGACAUUUUAGAUUUAUCAAAAGGCCAAUGGCAAUGUGUGUAAACCAGUGGAGGCUGCUGAGGGGAGAACGGCUCAUAAUAAUGGCUGGAAUGGAGUGAAUGGAAUGGUAUCAAACCCAAGUUUUUGAUACCAUUCCAUUUACUCCACUGCUGUAAACUGUCAACUAUUACAAUGGUCGCUAUAUAACAUUCAUUAUUCUCUGUUUGUAGAGUUAUCACGUUAUUCUACUACAUCAGAAUUAGCAGGGACAAAGCUUUAUUUAUGACCUAGAUACUGUCCUACCUUUCUCCUGUUCCUUCCAUGUUUACACUACAGAAGCCUUCCAGACCGAUCAGGGUCUUAAACCAGCUUUCUGGUGGUAAGCCAACCAGUAUUCAUAUUCAGGUGAUCGGUUCUCCUCAAUGAUAAACACUGUUGAAUGCUUGUGUAACACUUUCCAGAAGUUGCAAGUUAUUUCUGCAGAUACCUACUUAAAGAAUUUUGCCUCCGACCGGUCACAUAUGAAAGAUGCCAAUGGGACGUGGCUCAUGCCUCCAACUCUGUAUCAUUGUAUUGAAACAGGUACAUCUCAGUACUAUUACAUACUUAUUUCUUCUUGCAACACUCAAUAUUUGAAUAUAAAUAAUUUUCUGUAGGGUGUCUGUGUGAUAAUAUCAGGAUUGUCUAUCUUACAGAAGAAUGGGUUUCUAUCCUUCCAGACUCUAAAAUGAACCUGGAUAACUUAAUCAGUAUGGAUUAUAGUGGGAUGUGGACACGUAUACAGUCUCUCUGAAUUAGUGAAACAUUUUGCAGAAAAAUGAUUGCUGGUUUGAAAUCUGGCCAUUUAUGUCUGUGGUAUCUCCAACAGUGCCCAUAGACCAGCUACAGGGUCAUUAGCCAGGAACCAGCACUCAAUGUUACGCUCCUUAUCACGGUAGCUACAGUUGAAGUCGGAAGUUUACAUACACUUAGGUUGGAGUCAUUAAAACUUGU